UCCUACGGGACGCAGCAGUGAGGAAUAUUGGUCAAUGGGCGGAAGCCUGAACCAGCCAAGUCGUGUGAGGGAAGAAGGCCCUGCGGGUCGCAGACCUCUUUGGACGGGGAGCAAGGCCGCCGACGUGUCGGCGGAAGGAGAGUACCCGUAGAACAAGCAUCGGCUAACUCCGUGCCAGCAGCCGCGGUAAUACGGAGGAUGCGAGCGUUAUCCGGAUUUAUUGGGUUUAAAGGGUGCGUAGGCGGACGCUUAAGUCAGCGGUAAAAUUGCGGGGCUCAACCUCGUCGAGCCGUUGAAACUGGGUG
rnacentral:rRNA from 1 species